GGGUUGUGAGGUUAAGCGACUAAGCGUACACGGUGGAUGCCCUGGCAGUCAGAGGCGAUGAAGGACGUGCUAAUCUGCGAAAAGCGCCGGCGAGGUGAUAUGAACCUUUGACCCGGCGAUGUCCGAAUGGGGAAACCCAGUGCAAUCCGUUGCACUAUCGUUAACUGAAUACAUAGGUUAACGAGGCGAACCGGGGGAACUGAAACAUCUAAGUACCCCGAGGAAAAGAAAUCAACCGAGAUUCCCCCAGUAGCGGCGAGCGAACGGGGAGCAGCCCGGAGUCUGAAUCAGCUUGUGUGUUAGUGGAACGGUCUGGAAAGUCCGACGGUACAGGGUGAUAGUCCCGUACACGAAAGCACACUUGCUGUGAACUCGAAGAGUAGGGCGGGACACGUGGUAUCCUGUCUGAAUAUGGGGGGACCAUCCUCCAAGGCUAAAUACUCCUGACUGACCGAUAGUGAACCAGUACCGUGAGGGAAAGGCGAAAAGAACCCCGGCGAGGGGAGUGAAAAAGAACCUGAAACCGUGUACGUACAAGCAGUGGGAGCCUCUUUAUGGGGUGACUGCGUACCUUUUGUAUAAUGGGUCAGCGACUUAUAUUCUGUAGCAAGGUUAACCGUAUAGGGGAGCCGAAGGGAAACCGAGUCUUAACUGGGCGUUAAGUUGCAGGGUAUAGACCCGAAACCCGGUGAUCUAGCCAUGGGCAGGUUGAAGGUUGGGUAACACUAACUGGAGGACCGAACCGACUAAUGUUGAAAAAUUAGCGGAUGACCUGUGGCUGGGGGUGAAAGGCCAAUCAAACCGGGAGAUAGCUGGUUCUCCCCGAAAGCUAUUUAGGUAGCGCCUCGUGAACUCAUCUUCGGGGGUAGAGCACUGUUUCGGCUAGGGGGCCAUCCCGGCUUACCAACCCGAUGCAAACUACGAAUACCGAAGAAUGUUAUCACGGGAGACACACGGCGGGUGCUAACGUCCGUCGUGAAGAGGGAAACAACCCAGACCGCCAGCUAAGGUCCCAAAGUCAUGGUUAAGUGGGAAACGAUGUGGGAAGGCACAGACAGCCAGGAUGUUGGCUUAGAAGCAGCCAUCAUUUAAAGAAAGCGUAAUAGCUCACUGGUCGAGUCGGCCUGCGCGGAAGAUGUAACGGGGCUAAACCAUGCACCGAAGCUGCGGCAGCGACGCUUA
rnacentral:rRNA from 1 species